GAUGAAGAACGUAGCAAAAUGCGAUAAGUAAUGUGAAUUGCAGAAUUCAGUCAAUCAUCGAAUCUUUGAACGCACAUUGCGCCCGCCAGUAUUCUGGCGGGCAUGCCUGUUCGAGCGUCAUUUCAACCCUCAAGCCCUCGGGUUUGGUGUUGGGGAUCGGCGAGCCUUUCUGGCAAGCCGGCCCCGAAAUCUAGUGGCGGUCUCGCUGCAGCCUCCAUUGCGUAGUAGUAAAACCCUCGCAACUGGAACGCGGCGCGGCCAAGCCGUUAAACCCCCAACUUCUGAAUGUUGACCUCGGAUCAGGUAGGAAUACCCGCUGAACUUAAGCAUAUCAAUAAGCGGAGGA
rnacentral:misc_RNA from 1 species